GAAAAAGUGAGUGCACUCAAGUGGAAACGGAAGAUUUAUCGAUCAGUUUUCAGGGGAGAAGGAAAACCAAAACAAGUGUGGUGAGCAAAAAGAACCAAAGAACCACAA
rnacentral:lncRNA from 1 species